GCAACACUUAGAAAAAUUAAGUAACACUUUCCUUUAUUAUAUUGUUUGGAGACAGACAUAAAAAAAAAAAAGUUUAGACCCGAAAAAAAAAACUUUGCAGAUCUCUUCUCCUCUCUGUCGUUGAUGUCUGACCUACUCUUCCACCUUCUUCGCCGGUAUGGCUGAACCGCGCUCCCCCACCCUCAUACUCCUCGUCCACCUCCUCCGUCUCUCUUUCAUUCGACCCAGCUAACCCAAACCCUAAAUCACCUUCAAUCGAAUCUACGUGCCUAUCUUGCCUAUAAGACUAGAAUUGAAGAUUCAUUCUCUUCGUGGUUUCAACAAGCCUAAAUGAAUUCAAUGUGGCAAUGUCUCUCGUUUUGGUUAAGCCUCUUUCUCUCUUGCGAUGGUGAAUUCUGUUCGUGUUUAAUCUGAUAGGGGGUUAAUUUAGGGUUUAUUCGGGUUUGAAUUUGGUGUUGUUUAAUUUUUUUUUUUUUUUUUUUGAAUUGUGCUGGAUUUGUGAAUUUUGUUAUGGGGUUUGGAUUAUGUUUGAAUUAUUAUUCUGCUUAAGAGUAUUUUGUUUAAUCGCUCACAAAUUCAGCUUAUAAAUGACUUAAUUAUAUGUUAGUUAUCAUAUCUUUUGAUUUUGUUUCUUCGUAUCGGGUGAAUUAGGAAUAGAGACAGCAAACUUAGGUUUAUUUUUUGUUCUUCUGUUUUAAGAUUCUGUGUUUUGCUAUUUUUGAGAGGUUGACUUUUGGUUUGUUUGUCUUCUCGAUUUCCUAUCCCUUUUAUCUCGAUCUCUAAUCUCAUAUUGAAAUUGUUAUCAAACCAUGUGUUUCUAAUAGCUGAUAAUCUGAAUUCAUUGGAUGUUGGAACAGAACAUUCAUUAUUGUUCUUUGUUGCAAAUAGUGUAUCUGAUUUUAACGAGAAGAGGUAAAUUAAACAUUCAUUUUUGGUCCUUGUUAAACUUUUCUUAAAUUGGCAAGUAAAAACAAUUUGCAGGUCUGCUAAAGCUUUGUAGUUUAGCUGUGCUUGUUUGUUUUUAGCUGCUAAAUUUGAAGAGAUAUCCGUUUCUCUCUCAGGAACCACGGUUAGAGUCUAAGCCUCUCUCACAUGCGUUAAGAGAAGACAGAACAUCCCAGUUCUUACAAAUGUUUUUGGAUGUAGGAAGUUGCUACUUUUGGGACUGUAAGUCGUCCUUAAGUAUUCUUGUGAGACUGAGUUUCUCGAUAAAUUGGAGAUGGUGAGUAUUGAUGGCUGCAAGAAAGGUCAAGUUCAGUUUAUUUCAGUUUCCAGUGGGUGGUAUUCACAGGCAACUCAAGUGCACAUGGUAGAGUUGGUGCCACCGCUGCCGUCUGCUGCUUC